rnacentral:tRNA from 1 species
GGUCUCGUAGUUUAGUGGUAAAACGCGCGCCUGAUAAGCGCAAGAGGACAGUUCAAUUCUGUUCGGGACCA